rnacentral:misc_RNA from 1 species
GAUGAAGAACGUAGCGAAAUGCGAUACUUGGUGUGAAUUGCAGAAUCCCGUGAACCAUCGAGUCUUUGAACGCAAGUUGCGCCCGAAGCCAUCAGGUUGAGGGCACGUCUGCCUAGGCGUCACAUAUCGUUGCCCAAUGCCUAUUGCAGUGCAAUAGGAAUUUCUAGGGCGAAUGAUGGCUUCCCGUGAGCGUUGUUGCCUCGCGGUUGGUUGAAAAUCGAGUCCUUGGUAGGGUGUGCCAUGGUAGAUGGUGGUCGAGUUAGAACGAUACCGAUCAUGUGCAUGCUCCCCAAAAUAUGGCCUCUAUGACCCACACGCGUCUUUUGACGCUCAUGACGAGACCUCAGGUCAGGCGGGCUACCCGCUGAAUUUAAGCAUAUCAAUAAGCGGAGGA